rnacentral:rRNA from 1 species
AGCGUACACGGUGGAUGCCCUGGCAGUCAGAGGCGAUGAAGGACGUGCUAAUCUGCGAUAAGCGUCGGUAAGGUGAUAUGAACCGUUAUAACCGGCGAUUUCCGAAUGGGGAAACCCAGUGUGAUUCGUCACACUAUCAUUAACUGAAUCCAUAGGUUAAUGAGGCGAACCGGGGGAACUGAAACAUCUAAGUACCCCGAGGAAAAGAAAUCAACCGAGAUUCCCCCAGUAGCGGCGAGCGAACGGGGAGCAGCCCAGAGCCUGAAUCAGUGUGUGUGUUAGUGGAAGCGUCUGGAAAGGCGCGCGAUACAGGGUGACAGCCCCGUACACAAAAAUGCACAUACUGUGAGCUCGAUGAGUAGGGCGGGACACGUGGUAUCCUGUCUGAAUAUGGGGGGACCAUCCUCCAAGGCUAAAUACUCCUGACUGACCGAUAGUGAACCAGUACCGUGAGGGAAAGGCGAAAAGAACCCCGGCGAGGGGAGUGAAAAAGAACCUGAAACCGUGUACGUACAAGCAGUGGGAGCACAGAGCAAUCUGUGUGACUGCGUACCUUUUGUAUAAUGGGUCAGCGACUUAUAUUCUGUAGCAAGGUUAACCGAAUAGGGGAGCCGAAGGGAAACCGAGUCUUAACUGGGCGUUAAGUUGCAGGGUAUAGACCCGAAACCCGGUGAUCUAGCCAUGGGCAGGUUGAAGGUUGGGUAACACUAACUGGAGGACCGAACCGACUAAUGUUGAAAAAUUAGCGGAUGACUUGUGGCUGGGGGUGAAAGGCCAAUCAAACCGGGAGAUAGCUGGUUCUCCCCGAAAGCUAUUUAGGUAGCGCCUCGUGAAUUCAUCUCCGGGGGUAGAGCACUGUUUCGGCAAGGGGGUCAUCCCGACUUACCAACCCGAUGCAAACUGCGAAUACCGGAGAAUGUUAUCACGGGAGACACACGGCGGGUGCUAACGUCCGUCGUGAAGAGGGAAACAACCCAGACCGCCAGCUAAGGUCCCAAAGUCAUGGUUAAGUGGGAAACGAUGUGGGAAGGCCCAGACAGCCAGGAUGUUGGCUUAGAAGCAGCCAUCAUUUAAAGAAAGCGUAAUAGCUCACUGGUCGAGUCGGCCUGCGCGGAAGAUGUAACGGGGCUAAACCAUGCACCGAAGCUGCGGCAGCGACGCUUAUGCGUUGUUGGGUAGGGGAGCGUUCUGUAAGCCUGCGAAGGUGUGCUGUGAGGCAUGCUGGAGGUAUCAGAAGUGCGAAUGCUGACAUAAGUAACGAUAAAGCGGGUGAAAAGCCCGCUCGCCGGAAGACCAAGGGUUCCUGUCCAACGUUAAUCGGGGCAGGGUGAGUCGACCCCUAAGGCGAGGCCGAAAGGCGUAGUCGAUGGGAAACAGGUUAAUAUUCCUGUACUUGGUGUUACUGCGAAGGGGGGACGGAGAAGGCUAUGUUGGCCGGGCGACGGUUGUCCCGGUUUAAGCGUGUAGGCUGGUUUUCCAGGCAAAUCCGGAAAAUCAAGGCUGAGGCGUGAUGACGAGGCACUACGGUGCUGAAGCAACAAAUGCCCUGCUUCCAGGAAAAGCCUCUAAGCAUCAGGUAACAUCAAAUCGUACCCCAAACCGACACAGGUGGUCAGGUAGAGAAUACCAAGGCGCUUGAGAGAACUCGGGUGAAGGAACUAGGCAAAAUGGUGCCGUAACUUCGGGAGAAGGCACGCUGAUAUGUAGGUGAAGUCCCUCGCGGAUGGAGCUGAAAUCAGUCGAAGAUACCAGCUGGCUGCAACUGUUUAUUAAAAACACAGCACUGUGCAAACACGAAAGUGGACGUAUACGGUGUGACGCCUGCCCGGUGCCGGAAGGUUAAUUGAUGGGGUUAGCGCAAGCGAAGCUCUUGAUCGAAGCCCCGGUAAACGGCGGCCGUAACUAUAACGGUCCUAAGGUAGCGAAAUUCCUUGUCGGGUAAGUUCCGACCUGCACGAAUGGCGUAAUGAUGGCCAGGCUGUCUCCACCCGAGACUCAGUGAAAUUGAACUCGCUGUGAAGAUGCAGUGUACCCGCGGCAAGACGGAAAGACCCCGUGAACCUUUACUAUAGCUUGACACUGAACAUUGAGCCUUGAUGUGUAGGAUAGGUGGGAGGCUUUGAAGUGUGGACGCCAGUCUGCAUGGAGCCGACCUUGAAAUACCACCCUUUAAUGUUUGAUGUUCUAACGUUGACCCGUGAUCCGGGUUGCGGACAGUGUCUGGUGGGUAGUUUGACUGGGGCGGUCUCCUCCUAAAGAGUAACGGAGGAGCACGAAGGUUGGCUAAUCCUGGUCGGACAUCAGGAGGUUAGUGCAAUGGCAUAAGCCAGCUUGACUGCGAGCGUGACGGCGCGAGCAGGUGCGAAAGCAGGUCAUAGUGAUCCGGUGGUUCUGAAUGGAAGGGCCAUCGCUCAACGGAUAAAAGGUACUCCGGGGAUAACAGGCUGAUACCGCCCAAGAGUUCAUAUCGACGGCGGUGUUUGGCACCUCGAUGUCGGCUCAUCACAUCCUGGGGCUGAAGUAGGUCCCAAGGGUAUGGCUGUUCGCCAUUUAAAGUGGUACGCGAGCUGGGUUUAGAACGUCGUGAGACAGUUCGGUCCCUAUCUGCCGUGGGCGCUGGAGAACUGAGGGGGGCUGCUCCUAGUACGAGAGGACCGGAGUGGACGCAUCACUGGUGUUCGGGUUGUCAUGCCAAUGGCACUGCCCGGUAGCUAAAUGCGGAAGAGAUAAGUGCUGAAAGCAUCUAAGCACGAAACUUGCCCCGAGAUGAGUUCU